UACGAAGGGGGCUAGCGUUGCUCGGAAUCACUGGGCGUAAAGGGUGCGUAGGCGGGUCUUUAAGUCAGGGGUGAAAUCCUGGAGCUCAACUCCAGAACUGUCUUUGAUACUGAAGAUCUUGAGUUCGGGAGAGGUGAGUGGAACUGCGAGUGUAGAGGUGAAAUUCGUAGAUAUUCGCAAGAACACCAGUGGCGAAGGCGGCUCACUGGCCCGAUACUGACGCUGAGGCACGAAAGCGUGGGGAGCAAACAGG
rnacentral:rRNA from 1 species